GACGAACGCUGGCGGCGUGCUUAACACAUGCAAGUCGAACGGAAAGGCCCUGCUUUUGUGGGGUGCUCGAGUGGCGAACGGGUGAGUAACACGUGAGUAACCUGCCCUUGACUUUGGGAUAACUUCAGGAAACUGGGGCUAAUACCGGAUAGGAGCUCCUGCUGCAUGGUGGGGGUUGGAAAGUUUCGGCGGUUGGGGAUGGACUCGCGGCUUAUCAGCUUGUUGGUGGGGUAGUGGCUUACCAAGGCUUUGACGGGUAGCCGGCCUGAGAGGGUGACCGGCCACAUUGGGACUGAGAUACGGCCCAGACUCCUACGGGAGGCAGCAGUGGGGAAUAGUGCACAAUGGGCGGAAGCCUGAUGCAGCAACGCCGCGUGCGGGAUGACGGCCUUCGGGUUGUAAACCUCUUUCGCCUGUGACGAAGCGUGAGUGACGGUAAUGGGUAAAGAAGCACCGGCUAACUACGUG
rnacentral:rRNA from 1 species